GAGAAACUAUGGGUUGGAGGUGAUCUCGUCCUAGUUAGCGAGUCCUUUGAGCAAUACUUGGCUAUUAUGCACCAGGAAGGCCACCUGGAUGAUGGCUUAAACUUUUCUAGAUCUCAGCAUGAAGAAACAUGCACAGACCAAGUCAUCUGGAGCAAUGUCUCACUUUUCAGUAGAUUUAUAAGGAGCCUGGAUGCUCUCAGCAAGAAAGCGAAGACUCCUGAAACCAACCUGCCCAUAUAGUUGGUGAGCCUGAGUCUGCAGGAUAUCAACUGUUACUUCCACCCUCCUAAUGAGCACUUGGAGCAUGAGGACAAACUGAACAGGUUGCAUGCCCUGAAGAAUUGGCAGAACCUCUUCUGGGGAGAGGUGAGUCUGCCCAUUUCUUCUUUGUUUUCUUGGGACAACAACUGCUUG